AUUGAACGCUGGCGGCAGGCCUAACACAUGCAAGUCGAACGAGUGGCGGACGGGUGAGUAAUGUCUGGGAAACUGCCUGAUGGAGGGGGAUAACUACGGGAAACGGUAGCUAAUACCGCAUACCAUCAGAUGUGCCCAGGUGGGAUUAGGUAGUUGGUGGGGUAACGGCUCACCAAGGCGACGAUCCCUAGCUGGUCUGAGAGGAUGACCAGCCACACUGGAACUGAGACACGGUCCAGACUCCUACGGGAGGCAGCAGUGGGGAAUAUUGCACAAUGGGCGCAAGCCUGAUACAGCCAUGCCGCGUGUAUGAAGAAGGCCUUCGGGUUGUAAAGUACUUUCAGCGGGGAGGCGUUAACUGCAGAAGAAGCACCGGCUAACUCCGUGCCAGCAGCCGCGGUAAUAC
rnacentral:rRNA from 1 species